rnacentral:rRNA from 1 species
CUACGGGAUGCAGCAGUGAGGAAUAUUGCACAAUGGGGGGAACCCUGAUGCAGCAACGCCGCGUGGAGGAUGACGCAUUUCGGUGUGUAAACUCCUUUUAUAUGUCAAGAAAAUGACGGUAGCAUAUGAAUAAGCACCGGCUAACUCCGUGCCAGCAGCCGCGGUAAUACGGAGGGUGCAAGCGUUACUCGGAAUCACUGGGCGUAAAGGACGCGUAGGCGGGUUGGAAAGUCAGGGGUGAAAUCCUACAGCUUAACUGUAGAACUGCACUUGAAACUUCUAAUCUAGAGUAUGGGAGGGGGAGAUUGAAUUAGUGGUGUAGGGGUAAAAUCCGUAGAUAUCACUAGGAAUACCUAAAGCGAAGGCGAUCUCCUGGAACAUUACUGACGCUAGGGCGUGAAAGCGUGGGGAGCAAACAGGAUUAGAUACCCCGGUAGUC